rnacentral:rRNA from 1 species
CAGCCCCUCGAGUGGUGGGGAUGAUUAUUUGGCCUAAAGCGUCCGUAGCCGGCCGUGUAAGUCUCCCGUUAAAUCCAGCGUCUCAAGCGUUGGACUGCGGGAGAUACUGUACGGCUAGAGAGUGGGAGAGGUCAGCGGUAUUCUGGGGGUAGGGGCGAAAUCCUUUGAUCCCCGGAGGACCACCAGUGGCGAAGGCUGCUGACUAGAACACGUCUGACGGUCAGGGACGAAAGCUGGGGUAGCGAUCCGGAUUAGAUACCCGAGUAGUCC